rnacentral:rRNA from 1 species
UACGAAGGGUGCAAACGUUGCUCGGAAUCAUUGGGCGUAAAGCGCACGUAGGCGGCCCGAUAAGUCGGAUGUGAAAUCCCUCGGCUCAACCGAGGACGUGCAUUCGAAACUGUCGGGCUCGAGUAUGGAAGAGGGUCGCGGAAUUCCCGGUGUAGAGGUGAAAUUCGUAGAUAUCGGGAGGAACACCAGUGGCGAAGGCGGCGACCUGGGCCAAUACUGACGCUGAGGUGCGAAAGCGUGGGGAGCGAACAGG